GCCGCGAGGUGGAGCGAAUCCCAAAAAGACCGGUCUAAGUUCGGAUUGCAGGCUGCAACCCGCCUGCAUGAAGUCGGAAUCGCUAGUAAUCGCGAGUCAGCAUAUCGCGGUGAAUACGUUCCCGGGUCUUGUACACACCGCCCGUCACACCAUGGGAGUUGGCAACACCCGAAGUCGAUGAGCUAACCGCAAGGAGGCAGUCGCCUAAGGUGGGGUUGAUAACUGGGGUGAAGUCGUAACAAGGUAGC
rnacentral:rRNA from 1 species